rnacentral:rRNA from 1 species
GUCUUUUUGAAAAUAAUUUAAAGUCAAAUCUGCCCACUGAUUUUAUUAAAGGGCUGCAGUAAAUUGACUGUACAAAGGUAGCAUAAUAAUUAGUCUUUUAAUUGAAGACUUGUAUGAAGGAUUUAAUGAAAUAUAAGCUGUCUCUUUUAUAUAAUUUGAAUUUAAUUUUUUAGUAAAAAAGCUAAAAUUUUUUUAAAAGACGAGAAGACCCUAUAGAGUUUUAUAUUUAAUUUAAAUUAUAAUUUUUUAUUAAAAUUAAAUAAAAAUUAAAUUAAAUAUUUUAUUGGGGUGAUAAAAAAAUAAAAUUAACUUUUUUUAUAUACAUAGUAUAAAUAUAUUAUAUGUAUUUAUCUAUAAAUAAACAUUAAUUAGUGAAAAAAUGAUCCAUAAUUUGUGAUUAUAAGAAAAAAUUACCUUAGGGAUAACAGCGUAAUUUUUUUUUUUAGUUCAAAUAAAAAAAAAAGUUUGCGACCUCGAUGUUGGAUUAAGAUAAAAUUUAAAUGUAGAAGUUUAAAAUUUUUGAUCUGUUCGAUCAUUAAAAUCUUACA